AAUAAGCACCGGCUAACUUCGUGCCAGCAGCCGCGGUAAUACGAAGGGUGCAAGCGUUACUCGGAAUUACUGGGCGUAAAGCGUGCGCAGGCGGUUUUGUAAGUCUGUCGUGAAAGCCCCGGGCUCAACCUGGGAAUUGCGAUGGAGACUGCAAGGCUUGAAUCUGGCAGAGGGGGGUAGAAUUCCACGUGUAGCAGUGAAAUGCGUAGAGAUGUGGAGGAACACCGAUGGCGAAGGC
rnacentral:rRNA from 1 species